AGAAUAUUGACGACAAAAUGUUCCUGCCUUCAAGGACCACACUUCCCAAGGAAGCAGCUACAUACACAGAUAAGAAAUACAAGUCAGGCAAUCAUAAAAAAUUCAAGGCUGGGAGAGAUCUGUCCCAUGCAGCUGUGGAGUACUGUGGACAUCGCCACAGUGAAGGCCCCCAACAGGACUCUCCCCACAGCAAUCCAAUCCACUUCUCUUCCCCCUGUUCUUGAUGGCAGGGAUUUCUCAAAUCCAGAAGCAGCUGAGCAGGACUGGAGAGCUGGCUCAAAGGAAGAGGCCAUAGCUGGGUGAAUAAUUUGGCCAUGGCCAUGCAGUAGAUCCCAAUCACCUGAACACUGCCAUGGUCUGGGAUUGGUCCUUGAAAACUCAACCCCAUGACUUAACAUAAGGAAAGUUUUCUGGAACUUUAAAAGUGGGAGGUUUACUUUCCACAUGGAAUGUUGAACUGCUGCUACUUAAACGUGGAGUUGAUGAUUUCACCUUCAUUACCACUGAAAUCUUGCCUGCAAAUGAAGCACCUCCAAGAGCUCUUUCUACUGGCAAGCAAAAGCAGGGGCCCGUGAUGCCUUUUCCACAGCCAUUUUUCAGAUACCUCCUCUUCCUACCUGUGAAUUUGCAUACAGUAUGGGGCACGAGGAAGUCAUUCCAAAAGACCCCAAAAAGAACCCACACUAGAGAAGUUAUAACUGAGUCGAAGUUGCUGGUCCAUCUGCAGGAAAACAGAAAACAAAGGCACAUCAGCAGAGGUCUGCAGGCUGGAGUGCCCUGGUGCAAUCUUGGCUCGCUGCAACGUCUGCCUCCCAGGUUCAAGCCAUUACUCUGCCUCAGCCUGCUGAGUAGCUGGGACUACAGGCAUGCACCAUCACGCCCGACAAAUUCUUGUAUUUUUAGUAGAGACGGAGUUUCACCAUGUUGGCCAGGCUGGUCUCGAACUCCUGACUUCGGCCUCCUGAAGUACUGAGAUUACAAGCAUGAGCCACCGUGCCUGGCCUGCUUUAUGUCAUUUUGAAGGAGUUUAAGAAGGGAGAGAUAAUAAAUUUGCACAUUCAUUCUUCAUGUUUAAAUGAGAACAUACAUUUAUCACAUGUAAUUUUUCUGACCAAAAAGUAAAAAAUCCUGGGGAGCCCUAUUAAUACUUUAAAAUCACUUGUUCCAAGAAAGUAGCACUCCCCUGUGUGCUAUUCCACUACAGCAUUUCAGUUGACAGUGGCUGUGGGAUUUGGCUGGUGAAUAUCGGAGCUGGAGGCUCUUGCUGCAUCCUGAAACUUGCAUUACAGAAAUUGACACCAAUAAAGGCAUGGUAUUUUUUCUUGACUUGUUAGUCCUGUGUGCUUCCUUGUGCAUCAAAGUACAAAUUGCUAAAUAUCAGGAGAUCUGUGGCAAGUUCUUUCAUUGGCAUUGUGUUUCUAAA